UUACUAUUGAAACUACACACUUGUGCUUUUCUGCAGGUAGUCUACAGGAUGAGAUGAGUCUCCAGAAUGAGUGUCUUGAGUCUCUGACCCAGCUAAAGUGAUCCCAGAGUGGGGGGUGUGAAUUCGGCAGGGCUGCCAAAAUCAUACCCCCCUAUGUUAAAUACUUACUAUUGAAUUUAAAUUAAUACAGUUUUUUUACAGGUAGUCUACAGGAUGAGAUGAGUCUCCAGAAUGAGUGUCUUGUGUCUCUGACCCAGCUAAAGUGAUCCCAGAGUGGGGGGUGUGAAUUCGGCAGGGCUGCCAAAAUCAUACCCCCCUAUGGUAAAUACUUACAAUUGAAUUUAAAUUAAUACAGUUUUUUUACAGGUAGUCUACAGGAUGAGAUGAGUCCCUAGAAUGAGUGUUUUAGGUCUCUGACCCAGCUAAAGUGAUCCCAGAGUGGGGGUGUGAAUUUUGCCAGGCAAAAUCAUACCCCCCUAUC